UCCCUAUCUAGUGCAUUGCUUUGCAGGGCCCAUAGAGCUCACAAUUAGUGUACUAUAUUGGCAACAAGGGUGCCAUUCGGGGCUCAGCCUAACAGGGAAAGCAUGCGACUGUUUGCUCGUUCAUCCCGCUGAAUAGAAAACUAUAGAAAAGACACCAUUUUACAAAGUAGAAAAAUUCCAUCAUCAACAUUAUGAACAAGUUAUUGUCAAGUAAGUUCAUGUCCAGUAAGUUAUUGUCCAGUAAGUUAAUGUCCAGUAAGUUAUUGUCCAGUAAGUUAACAUCCAGUAAGUUAAUAACGUCCAGUAAGUUAUUGUCCAGUAAGUUCAUGCCCAGUAAGUUAAUAACGUCCAGUAAGUUCAUGUCCAGUAAGUUAAUAACGUCCAGUAAGUUCAUGUCCAGUAAGUUAAUGUCAAGUAAGUUCAUGUCCAGUAAGUUAACUUCCAGUAAGUUAAUAACGUCCAGUAAGUUAUUGUCCAGUAAGUUCAUGCCCAGUAAGUUAAUAAUGUCCAGUAAGUUAACGUCCAGUAAGUUAACGUCCAGUAAGUUAACGUCCAGUAAGUUAAUAACGUCCAGUAAGUUAACGUCCAGUAAGUUCAUGUCCAGUAAGUUAACGUCCAGUAAGUUAACGUCCAGUAAGUUAAUAACGUCCAGUAAGUUAUUGUCCAGUAAGUUCAUGCCCAGUAAGUUAACGCCCAGGAAGUUAUUGUCCAGUAAGUUAAUGUCCAGUAAGUUAAUGUCCAGUAAGUUCAUGUCCAGUAAGUUAACGUCCAGUAAGUUAAUAACGUACAGUAAGUUAAUGUCCAGUAAGUUAUUGUCCAGUAAGUUAUUGUCCAGUAAGUUAAUAACGUACAGUAAGUUAACGUCCAGUAAGUUAAUAACGUCCAGUAAGUUAACGUCCAGUAAGUUCAUGUCCAGUAAGUUAACGUCCAGUAAGUUAACGUCCAGUAAGUUCAUGUCCAGUAAUUUAAUAACGUCCAGUAAGUUCAUGUCCAGUAAGUUAACGUCCAGUAAGUUAACGUCCAGUAAGUUAACGUCCAGUAAUAAGUUAACGUCCAGUAAGUUAAUAACGUCCAGUAAGUUCAUGUCCAGUAAGUUAACGUCCAGUAAGUUAACGUCCAGUAAGUUAAUAAUGUCCAGUAAGUUAUUGUCCAAUAAGUUCAUGCCCAGUAAGUUAAUAACGUCCAGUAAGUUAUUGUCCAGUAAGUUAACGUCCAGUAAGUUC
ensembl:lncRNA